AGGGGUUGCCAAGGAGGUAACAAAGGGUUAAGGUUUUUGUAAGAUACUGUUACAUUUCAACUCUACCCUGUAAGUUUUUUCCUUGGUCAGGGGACAGCGGAGCAGACGCAGGCUCUCACUGACAAGUUGGUGGGGGUGAGGUUUCUUGCAUUAGUACAUUGACGCGUACAUGUUUUUCUGUUGGCUACAUACAGGAGUUCUCUAAACGAUGCUGUUUUCCUGCAUAGUUUUCAAUCCAGUCUGCAUUGAAACCUGUCAUUCCCAACAAUGUCAUCAUUUCGCUGACUGUCCGUGGACUUGGAGCUUUGCUAACACCUUCCAGUUGAGAAGGUGAAAUGCUAACUCUUCCUUGAGGUAUUUGUCUUUCCUAGGUAAUCUACCUGUGGUUGACAGUACUGUAGUUUUGUUUGGAGACCUUGUGUCCUCCCUCUGCUAAUCUUUGCAGAACUUUGAUUGAGUCCUGAUGACAGUCAUUUAGUGUGUUUCCGCAGAUUAACAAAUCGUCCACAUUUCGUUAAUCCACAUUAAGAAAAACAAAAAAAUUGAGAUGCAAUACGGGGUUAAUUUCUCUCGCGAAAGCGAGACUAAAAUCUUUUUACUUUUUGUUUUUUCAGAGGUCCUUUUGUCUCUCCUCGGGCGGGGGAGAGAGGGAGAGGAGGGGCAACGCUCCGGGAGGAGGGAGUGAAAAGCGUUGUGUGUGUGGCUCUCCUUGCCUGCGUAGAGCUGUAUGUGUGGUUCCUCUGCCUGAGGAGAACUUAGUGUGUGUGCAAGAUUUUCCUUCGGGCGGGGGAGAGAGCUACUUGGCAGUCUUUAACUAACAGGCUAAAAAUAACUCAGCCUGCCAGUGGUUCUGCCCCGCUGACAGGCAAAAAAGGCAGACGGAGCCGUCUCCUUCCCCAAACAAAACAGUCUUACAAAUACAAAGUUUAAAUACCUGCACCCACAUCUUAACAACAUAACAGCUUCAAAAAGUAUACACACCUUGGUCCACCAAGAUUUCCUUACAACAAUAAAAGUUUCCAAGCACUUUUUAGCUCAUCAACCUAGACAACUUUACCUCUAACAGUGGGACUUGAAUACAAAAAAA